rnacentral:rRNA from 1 species
GAUGAACGCUGGCGGCGUGCCUAAUACAUGCAAGUCGAGCGAACGGACGAGAAGCUUGCUUUUCUGAUGUUAGCGGCGGACGGGUGAGUAACACGUGUAUAACCUACCUAUAAGACUGGGAUAACUUCGGGAAACCGGAGCUAAUACCGGAUAAUAUUUUGAACCGCAUGGUUCAAAAGUGAAAGACGGUCUUGCUGUCACUUAUAGAUGGAUCCGCGCUGCAUUAGCUAGUUGGUAAGGUAACGGCUUACCAAGGCUACGAUGCAUAGCCGACCUGAGAGGGUGAUCGGCCACACUGGAACUGAGACACGGUCCAGACUCCUACGGGAGGCAGCAGUAGGGAAUCUUCCGCAAUGGGCGAAAGCCUGACGGAGCAACGCCGCGUGAGUGAUGAAGGUCUUCGGAUCGUAAAGCUCUGUUAUUAGGGAAGAACAUAUGUGUAAGUAACUGUGCACAUCUUGACGGUACCUAAUCAGAAAGCCACGGCUAACUACGUG